rnacentral:rRNA from 1 species
UGGGGAAUUUUGGACAAUGGGGGGAACCCUGAUCCAGCCAUCCCGCGUGUGCGAUGAAGGCCUUCGGGUUGUAAAGCACUUUUGGCAGGAAAGAAACGUCGCGGGUUAAUACCCCGCGAAACUGACGGUACCUGCAGAAUAAGCACCGGCUAACUACGUGCCAGCAGCCGCGGUAAUACGUAGGGUGCAAGCGUUAAUCGGAAUUACUGGGCGUAAAGCGUGCGCAGGCGGUUCGGAAAGAAAGAUGUGAAAUCCCAGAGCUUAACUUUGGAACUGCAUUUUUAACUACCGGGCUAGAGUGUGUCAGAGGGAGGUGGAAUUCCGCGUGUAGCAGUGAAAUGCGUAGAUAUGCGGAGGAACACCGAUGGCGAAGGCAGCCUCCUGGGAUAACACUGACGCUCAUGCACGAAAGCGUGGGGAGCAAACAGGAUUAGAUACCCUGGUAGUCCACGCCCUAAACGAUGUCAACUAGCUGUUGGGGCCUUCGGGCCUUGGUAGCGCAGCUAACGCGUGAAGUUGACCGCCUGGGGAGUACGGUCGCAAGAUUAAAACUCAAAUGAAUUGACGGGGUCAUAGCUGUUUCCU